GAUUGGGGUUAGAGACAGUAAAAUGGUCUGGAGCCUGGAACUAGUGCUCUAAGAGAGUCCUGGGACAGAAAAGUACCUCUGGUGUUUGUUUCCCAGAGUUUAGACACCACUGUCAAAAGGAAGGGGGGCUUGCUGAGGGGAUGAGGAGGGUUUGUGGAAGAGGAAGCAGCCAUGGAAAGCUAGUUGAUACGUUGGUGAUCUUUUCAGUUAAAGGUGGAGGUGGGUGGGCGGCUCAGGAGAAGGUGCUCAGGGCCUGAGAGAGUGGUGAGUAGGCUGCUCCUGGCUGCUGAGGCCCGUUUAUUGCCUGUGUUUUGUCAUUUUUUAAAGCCAGUUCCUCUGUGCUGCUUCCAGAUUUUGUCGAGGCAGGAUCGAGUCUUCCUCUCUGGGACCUUUGCCAUGAGGGCCUGUUUCUCAGAGCUGGGUUUUAAGAGCUGCCCAGACUUGUAGCUGCCAUCAGCAGCCUCCGGUGAACCUGGCCAGCAGGCCCCACCUGGGGACGGCAGCGUGCGGGAGCUCUCCUGGCCUCCCUAGAGCUGCCCUGCUUUCCACUUCACACCUUCCCUUCCCUGAACAGGAAAGAGCCUGACAGGGAUGUGGCAUUUCAACCAAGUGGCACUCUGCAACUCGAAAGUACCGUUUCUAAGGCCAAAAACGGAUUGGCUUACUUUUAGCUCUAUUCGAAAGCACCUUUCACUGUGAAAUGCCCCACUAAGAAGGGUUCCCACUUUGGAAAGAUGCUCUGACAUGGAACAGAUUAAAGCAAAUUCAGUUUGACCGAGGGAAGUAAUGUCUUUCAGGCUGGAAAAGCAGCUUGCUUCCCUCUCUAGCCAAUUAUUCACUACGUGGGUCUUUUUCUGUGAGGCCUCUAAUAAUUCUCUGGGCUCCCUCAUGCCUCAGAGCCAAGCUGCUGAGCUUGGGCCCGAGCUUGUUCAGGCUCUGACCCAACUGCAGAUGUUAGCCGAGGGCCCUUGGCCUCUUUUCCGUGCUUUGAUUUAGAACUCUAGCUUUGCAGGGAGUAAUUGUUUCCUGUCUGUCUUGUCCCAGUUCUAAGCACCGUGGCCUUGAAACUCAAAAUUUGGAGACCUAAAUAUUCUCUCGCCCCUCUCUUCCAGGGAAAAUCCUCAUUCAGGCUAAGGAUAAGAGAUGCUUCUUAAAGGGCAGUAAUUUCUAGAUUAGCAUGCUGUGUGUGCUGGCACUGAGACCUACUUAUAGUCUAAAAUGUGUGUGACCUUUCUGCCGGAAUCUUUCUUCCCCUGGAUCCCUCUGGAAUAUGGGAUUGAGGGUAGGUGGUGACGGGAUAGUUAAUUUCAUGAGAGAGUGUUGGUGGCCACGUCUUAGACCACAGGAUCUGACAGUUGAGGGAAAGGAAAUCAUUAAUCCUCAUGACUUGAUCUAUCAAUGCAAUGCUGAUGACUCAAUCCUGCUCUGUCCGACCUCUCACGGGGUUCCCAGGUCCAGACUCGUCUAGGUCUGUGGGAGGUUUGCGAUCUUUCUGUGUCUUUCAGUAUGUGUUUGUCUUUUAACUGACUUGCUAUGUAAAAUAACAUUUCUUACUUGGUAAAAAAAAUUUGAAGAACACUGGUGUAUAAAACAGACUCUCUCCUAGCCUAUCUUGUCAUCUCAGGUCAAGAGGUCCAAAAUCGAUUCCCUCCCAAACUGUUUAACCUUUUCAAUCUCUUCAUACUUACUCUUGGAAAAAUCAUAAACCUUCAGUGAUUCCAACUAGAUCUUUCUUUUCUUUUCUUUCUCCAGGAAGUGAACCCAGUUUACCACUGAGCUGCAUCCUCAGCCCUUUUAUUUUUAAGACAGGGUCUUGUAGGUUGCUGAGGCUACAAUCCUCCUGUCUCAGCCUCCCGAGUUGCUGAAAUUACAGACAUGCAUCACUGCACCUAGUCAGAUUAGAUAUUUUCAAGUCACCUUUACUUUUCUUUCUAUGCCUAUAUCCAGCUAUAUCCAGUUUGUCAACAAGCUCUAAUGUCUCCUCCUUCUAGAUAUCUCUCCCAUGGGCCCCUUCUCAUGGUCAGAGCCCAAGUAAGUCAUCUCUUUAAGCCUGGAUUACCCCGGAAGCCAGUCCUUGCUGUCCCUCACCUCUAGUCUUCUACCUAAAUCCACCCUCUUACCAAUGACAUUUGAAUCUUUUCCAAAUGCUAUUUUCAUUCCAUCAGUUGGGGCAAUUGAUCAAGGACAAAAGGAAAAACUUGACAGUAGUUUCUAGUGAUGAAAGUCUGUCUCUUAAGAGGAGGAACAGUUGUACUCCCUCAAGCUGCAAAGGAAUACACCCAGAGCCCUGCGCAGUCAAAACAGGGACUCUGCCAAAAAAGGAAAAAGGCAU
rnacentral:lncRNA from 1 species